AGAACGAACGCUGGCGGCAUGCCUAAUACAUGCAAGUCGAACGAACUCUUCGGAGUUAGUGGCGCACGGGUGCGUAACGCGUGGGAAUCUGCCCUUGGGUUCGGAAUAACAGUUGGAAACGACUGCUAAUACCGGAUGAUGACGUAAGUCCAAAGAUUUAUCGCCCAAGGAUGAGCCCGCGUAGGAUUAGCUAGUUGGUGGGGUAAAGCCUACCAAGGCGACGAUCCUUAGCUGGUCUGAGAGGAUGAUCAGCCACACUGGGACUGAGACACGGCCCAGACUCCUACGGGAGGCAGUAGUAGGGAAUAUUGGACAAUGGGCGAAAGCCUGAUCCAGCAAUGCCGCGUGAGUGAUGAAGGCCUUAGGGUUGUAAAGCUCUUUUACCCGAGAUGAUAAUGACAGUAUCGGAGAAUAAGCCCCGGCUAACUCCGUGCCAGCAGCCGC
rnacentral:rRNA from 1 species